GAAUUUAAAAUUUUAUUUAAAAUAUUAUUUAUAUUUUAUAUUAUUAAAAAUAUUUUAUAUUUUAUUAUUUAAUGAAAAAAUAUUAUUUAUUAUAGUUGAAAGUAUUGUGAAAGAAUGAUUUUAAUUAAUUUAAAGAAAAAUUUAAAUUUUGUACCUUGUGUAUCAGGGUUGAUUAAAUAAAAAUUUUAUAUUAAAUAUUCUCGAAUUUAAAAGAGCUAAUUUAUUAUUAAUUUUAUUGUUAAAUAAAUAUUUAUAAUAAUAAAUUAGAAAUGAAACGUUAUUCGUUUUUAAAUAUAUCUAGUUUUUAAAGAAAUAAAUUUAAUUUAUUUAUUAAUAAUUAAAAUUUUAAUUUUUUAAUUUUUUAUUAUUAAUAAAAAAUUUUUUUAGGGAUAAGCUUGAGAAAAAAAUAUUAUAAUAAUUUAAAUGUUAAAUAAAUUGUAAGAUUAGAAAUUUCUAUAAGUAAAAAAUUGUUAUAAUUAAUUAUUUUAUUUUUAAUAUUUAUAUUUUAUUUAAGUUUUUUAUUUAAAUAUAAAUUUUAAUUUUGAAAAUUUAGAAAUAAUGAUUAAAUUAGUAUAGUUAAUUGUAUUAGUUAAGUUAAUUUUUAAGGUUAAUUUAAGGAAUUCGGCAAAUUUAUUUUUCACCUGUUUAAUAAAAACAUGUCCUUUUGAUUAUAAUUUAAGGUCUAAUCUGCCCACUGAAUUUUAAAUGGCCGCGGUAUUUUGACCGUGCAAAGGUAGCAUAAUCAUUAGUUUCUUAAUUAGAAGCUGGAAUGAAUGAUUGGAUGAGAAAAUUACUGUCUCAAAUUAAUUUUAUUAGAAUUUUAUUUUUAAGUUAAAAAGCUUAAAUAUUAUUAAAAGACGAGAAGACCCUAUAGAGUUUAAUUAAAUUAUGAGUUAUUUAAUUAUAGAUUAAUUUUUUUAUAAUUUAUUAUUUAAUUUUGUUGGGGUGAUGAAAAAAUUAAAUUAACUUUUUUUGUA
rnacentral:rRNA from 1 species